rnacentral:rRNA from 1 species
AGAUGGCGACCGGCGCACGGGUGAGUAACACGUAUCCAACCUGCCGAUAACUCGGGGAUAGCCUUUCGAAAGAAAGAUUAAUACCCGAUAGUAUAAUCAGACCGCAUGGUCUUGUUAUUAAAGAAUUUCGGUUAUCGAUGGGGAUGCGUUCCAUUAGGCAGUUGGUGAGGUAACGGCUCACCAAACCUUCGAUGGAUAGGGGUUCUGAGAGGAAGGUCCCCCACAUUGGAACUGAGACACGGUCCAA